rnacentral:rRNA from 1 species
GAUGAACGCUGACAGAAUGCCUAACACAUGCAAGUCAACUGUGGCGGACGGGUGAGUAACGCGUAAAGAACUUGCCUCACAGCUAGGGACAACAUUUGGAAACGAAUGCUAAUACCUGAUACUGUGAGAGAGCUUUGCGUCCCAUUAGCUAGAUGGAGAGGUAACGGCUCACCAAGGCGAUGAUGGGUAGCAGGCCUGAGAGGGUGAUCGGCCACAAGGGGACGGAGACACGGGCCUUACUCCAGCGGGAGGCAGGAGUGUGGAAUAUUGGACAAAGGACCAAAGUCUGAUCCAGCAAUUCUGUGUGCACGAUGAAGUUUUCGGGAUGUAAAGUGCUUUCAGUUGGGAAGCGGUACCAACAGAAGAAGUGACGGCUAAAUACGUGCGAGCAGCGGCGGUAAUAC